rnacentral:tRNA from 1 species
GGAUAUGGCUCAGUUGGUAGAGUGCUUGCCUACCAUGCACAAGGCCCUGGGUUCAAUCCUCAGUACCA